UCACUUCAUUUUUUCAUACCCAUUUUCCAUCAGGAUGAAUCUUACCUCCUUUUUUUCUUCUUUCAUUUCCCUUCCUGGGUUUGUUUCAGCCAUUUGAGUUUUUUUUCUUAGUUGUAGUUGUUGUUUUGCUUGAUAAACGUGUUUGCCAGAUUAUUUUUUACAUCGAGUGUAAUAUAUUUCUGUUGUGAAGUUAUGGUUUUCAGUAAACGAGAAAUUUGUUGUCAUUAGCAGAUACGGUGGCGGCGGCUUGUUUUCUUCUUGGAAGUUUUGACUAUUUGUCUAGAGCUGACAAGUGUAAUUGUGUCCGGUAUCGGAUCUUAGUUUUAUUUCUGGACGCAGAAACAGAAAACAAAAAAUGUCUACCAAUUUUUUUUUCUUUAAAUGCAACUUCAAAAGAACUAAUACUGGUUUUGCUUGAUUUUGAACUUUUUUUUUUUUUUUGAGGUCAGAUUUUGAACUGGGUUCUAAGUCUAAGAUCUAAAUCGCUUAGGUAUACAGCAUAACUGGUUUAAUUUCCCUGAUAGAGGUCAAGAUCGUUUGUUCUUAUAACUGCCAUCAUGGUUUGUUCAAACACAGACUCAAUUGUUCUUAUUCUGUUAAUUGGACAAGGAAGCUUUACAUUUACUGUCUAAUUACUUUAUGGAAUUUAUAAUAACCAAAUGUGAUGGUACUGGUGAAGAUUUCUGCAUAAAGGUAACUGUCACUUACAUAUUACUCUUUACCAUAAUCUAGUUGAAGUAUAUGGUUUAUACAUUACUUUCGCUAUGUAUAUGUGUGCAAAGUUAUGCACAUGGCUCCACUCUGCAAUUUGUAAUCUGCCAUCUGUAAUCUGUAACUUGUAAGCUGUGCCUUUGCAUACUGUUAAUUUUCGUUGUGAUAUUCAUGAGUGGUAUGAUUAUUUCGGUAUCUUUAUUUUAUUGAUUUAGGGCCUAUUUGAUUGACAGAAUGAUUGUUGCCAUAUUCGAUCAAUCUCUUGGGGCCAUUAAGCCUCAAGAUUGUGGCAAUGCUUCUGGCUUUGUUAAGAAGUUUGGGAAUCCAUCGUUGAGAUACAUCUCGAAAGGUUUUCCAAUUGAUAAUAGAUUGUUCAGGCAAGGAAUUAGUACUUCUAGCCAAUGGAAGUUGCACAUUGUUCAUGAAUCAUCAUCUUGCACUUCUGUGAUAAACCAAGUUUCAUCUACAUUGGGGGACACAGUCAACUUUAAUGAUAAUACACCUGAUUGAACCCCAGCUGUACUCAGGAAGGCAUGUGAUGGUUGCUGCACAUGGGAAUUCGUUUGGUCUAUUAUCAUAUAUGUUGGCAAAUUAACUUCUCAGCAGGUUACUUAGAAUUAUCAGCUGGGAUAUCAUUCCUUUAUAUAUGCAAGGAAGGGAGCUUUAUUAGAGAGGAAGUCCUGUAGGACCUAAAGAGGCUGGUGUUUAUGCUUAUACACAGGUAUAGACUCUUCUGUUUCUUAUAAUGGAUGUUUCAGCAUUGUUCUAUCUUUCAAUUUUUCACUUGCUUUCUUAAGAAUAUUAUAGAUGAAGUUGUUUAAAAUCAGUUGAAACUCAUUUGAUGAGAGAAUUUAAGGCCUAGAUUUUUAAUCAGUUGCUGAAUAGUUACUCCGUAGUCUGUUGAUCAGGAUUUGAAUGCUCAGAAUCAUGUGAAUCAGGCUAGAAGUUAUCAUUUCCACUGUUUUGUCUUCUGUUGCUCUGGAUGAUUAGGCUUCUAAAGACAAGAUCUUUUUGGUUUUUUGUUUGUUAGCCUCAUUAAUUUAUUGCUGUCUGAAUAAAUUUCAUACUGGUCUGAAUGAGAAACUUCUUUAGGGGAACCAUUCAAUUACUUUUGCUAAAAGAAUCUCAGUAAACAUGGUUCCUCUAAAGAAGUUUCUUAUUCAGACCAGUAUGAAAUUUAUUAUUACUUUUGCUAAAAAAUGUCAGUAAACAUGGAGAUGUUUCAUAUGGAUGGAGUUUUAAUACUUCUGAAGGAAAUUUGUAUAUAAAAGGAUUUUCAAUUUCUUUAAUAGGUGUCAACCUUAACUAAGUAUUAUAAAUCCAACCCUUGGUGGUGGUUAUAUCCUCAAUUUGAGCAUAAAUUUACACUUAAGUUCUCUAUGCUCGAAAGGUAUCUUUUUUGCAGUAAAUUGGAGGCCAGAUGUUCCUGCACGAAGCAGGUUUCUACUUGCCCAGCCCAUGUUGGCCCAGGAGAAAAUCUCACCUUUAUGGGGUUUCUUUGCUUGCUUUCAAGCUGUUCUGAUCACAAAUCCACUAGGACUGAGUGGAAAAAAAAGUUGAUUCCUUUGUAGCCAUUUUGAUGUUGUCUUUCUGGAUAGAUAGAAAAUAAAGUUCUUCCAUCUAGGCAAUCAGAUUCUUCAUAUAAACUUACAUAUCUUACAACAUGUGUCUGAACAUUUCCUUCCCUGAGUAGUGUCUUUUGUAAUUUCUCUUGAAAUUGCUAUCCGUUGAAUAUAAUGAAACUAGAAAGGCAUUUGUCUAGGAGAAAUGAUGAAGUUCUGCAACGUAAAAUCUUCUUAUGGAUUUGUAUCCUUAUUUUGUGUCUUGAAGACUUCCUUGUACUCAUGCAACUCUGACCUUUUGUCAAGUUCUGUAAUUCAAAAAGAAACAGUGGAAGCCACACAUUUCUGGAUGUGCUAAUGUUGAAAGUUUUGCUCACUUAAUGUUCUUCUGUGAAA